rnacentral:lncRNA from 1 species
AAAAGCCUGGUGAACGGUUUUUUACUGACUAUACUUCUGACAUCAAAUGUGUGGGGUUUUUUCCUCACACCAAGCAAUUUUCCAACUCUCCAGAUACCAACUAGGUGUCCCACAAUUCAGCUGUGGCACUAGCUACCAGUUAGUGCACAUCUCACAAGUUAAGGGAUCAUUCCUAUAAGAUUUCCCCCACUUCACAGACAACAAUCUCAAGUCCCAGGCCACCUGUACUUCUCUGAUCAAUAGGCUAUAAUUUGGGGUUCAUGUGACCUCCCCUCUGAAGGUUCCGUAAUUUAUUAGAACAGCUCACAGAACUCAGAAAUGGUUUACUUACUAUUACCUGUUUAUUACAAAAGAUACAACUCAGAAAGAGCCAAAUGGAAGAGGUGCAUUGGACAAAGAAUAACGUGAUGGUGGGGAGAGUGGCACAGAACUCUCUAGGCAUACCUAAUCCUCGCACCUUGAUGUGAUCACCAAUCAGCAAACCUCUCUGAAUCUGAACAUUUAGGGGCUUUUAUGGAAGUUUCAUACAUGGGCAUGAUGAUUAAUUCAUUGAACACUGGUAUUUAAAUAAAUUCCAGUCCCUCUCUUCUUGGAGGUCAGUGGGAUGGGUCUGAAAAUUCUAACUCUCUAAUCACAGGGUUGUUUCCUCACAACCAUCCCUCAUCCUGAAGCUAUCUAGAGGCCUACCAAGAGUUAUGUCAUUAACAUAUACAAUUCAGGUAUGAAUGAAAGAGGCUUAUUAUAAAUAACAAGAGAUUCUCCUAUCACCCUAUUCAAGAAAUUCUAAGAGUUUUAGAAGCUGUGUGUCAGGAACCAGUAACAAAGACCAAAUAUAUAUUUAUCACACCUGAGAACAUUUACUAUAAAUGAAUCCUUGGUUAUCCAAAUGCUGGUAAUUAUUUCUAAGUAUUAUUCUAGAACUGGCAAUAUGUCCUAGGCUAUUAUUUCAAUUAGCCUGAAGAAUGAAAAUAACUCCAAUUCAGUAUCACAUGUGCCCAGAGGAAAAAAUUUUCCUCUACCCUUCUAGGUUCUUCUGGCUGAUCUCAAUUAAACUGACAUGAGGCAGAUUAACAGGAGAAAACCAAACAAAAAUUUAAUAACAUGUAACAAGGGAGAGAUCCAGGAAAAUGAGUAACUCACCCAAAGGGCCAAAACCCUCACCUUAAAUACCAUCUUCAGCUAAAGACAAAAGAGAGUGCCCAAAAGAGAGAGUCACAAGUGGUUUGUGACUUCAGAGGGGAGAAAGGCAUCUCACAUGGAGCUGGAAAAGCAAAUGUUUGGCAAAUAAAUGUUUGCUGGGCCAUGCAGAAUAAAGUCUGAUCUCUUUGAGUUCCUUCCGCUGGACCCAGCCCAUAUUCUUUGCAGAUACCUCUAAUAAUAGCUCUGUUCCUACAACAGGUCCUCUACCUAAAUUCUUCAGACAGUUAGGGAGCAGAUCAGAGUUUCUUCCUGAGUCUUUUGGGCCUUGAUUGUUUUCAGCUUGAAAUAAUCCUUAUGCCAGAGAUAUUUUAUGGUGGCAAAUUUUGUACUCCUAUACAGGUAUCCAUCUGUACCACCACUGAGCAAUUUCACGAGGGAAGGAAGAAAUGAUGCAACUCAUUUUAUUAAAUGACAGCAGAGCCUCAUUUAACUUACACAUAACUCUUAUCCAGUGGCACCCACUGUCUGAAACAUAGCUGAGAUAUAAGUAGAAAGGAUGAGAUUAAAACCUCCAAAGAAAUGUGCUAAAGCUUUUCUUAAAAAUAUGCAUUGCUCAUAGAAAUGAUCCUUGGGCAUUCACACUAUGCCCAUUUAACUUUAUUUUAUGUAGACUAUUAACAAAGUUUUGUGUGACUUACCAACCAGUCAGCUGAUUGGCAGCAUCAAGUUAAAACAACAAAUUUGAAUGAGAGGCUGUUAAAGAUAGGUGGAAUUCUGUCAGUGUGAAAUGACAGCUGACAAUCUCAUAUCAAAGCAGACUACAGAAAAUUUGUGAGGAGUAAAUUAAAACUCUGAGGACAUUUAGUGUAGGAAUGAACCAUUUAGAACACUAUAGGACUACUUGAGGGUAUCAUUGUUUUGUGGCAGAGAGAAGAAUUGAGUUUUAUAAUGAUGAUAAUGAACCAUCAAAAGAAAACUCAUUUUGGCUCAGUUUGAGAGAUCAGAAGUACAUAACUCAUUUAUUUAUAUAGAGAUAUUUUCAAGUGAAUUUUUAAAAAUAGUACAUAUUAGUUAUUUUAAAAUUCAUUCCUUAUAAAAAAGAAUUAAAACAGAGAAGUAUAAAUUUCACUUAUCUGGCCCUCUCCCUUUAAUCAUACUUGACAGAGACCCUUCCAUUUUCUGUUUUUGUUGUUGUUGUUGUUUUGUUUUUUUAAUGUUUUGGUAGUUAACAGGAAGAUCCAGCAAUCUAGGAAAUUUAUUUAUCUAGAGAACUUGUUUUCUUGUGAUCUUGGCUAAAGGAAGCAGGAGCUAUAUCUAUAAAUAUAGUCCAUACCAUAUACUUAUCUGGUCAGGAUGUUUUUGUUAUAGAAAUAGAUAACACCAGUCCCAAGUAUGGAAAUCAAAAUGAAAUUAUCUCUUCUUGAUACUAGCCUUAGUAUUUGCAUCUUUUUGGGUCCCUGUUCUAAGUACUUUCCAUUGAUUUCUUGGAUGCAAGACAAAAUUCUAAAAAAGUUCUGGUGUUUAUUAGCUCAACGAGUUCAAUCAUCAACACCUGGCUGGCUCAGUGUUCUUUUUAAAAUAUGCCAACAAACCUAGGAACCCUAAUAGGGAUCAUAAGGGCAGGCAGCUUGGUUAAGCUUGUCUGGAUCACCUCCUGAUCCCCUGGUCCCUUUUCAAUUCAGGACCAGAUAGAAAAACACCCGCCUUCCACCCACCAUCACCUUGACUGCCAAGACAGCUUGUAACAGGAGCUAACUUUCCAUAGGCCCCAUCUCCUUAGUCAUGGGAUCUAGGGCCUAGUCAGUCUAAGCAGGAACCUGGUAAAUGCCAAAAAUUUCUGUCAGAAUGAGGGGUAAAAAAAGAGCAUUUAAAACAAUAGUCAACAUCAUGGUGCAGAAUUUAAAUAAAAUGCCUACACCAUUUGGGGUAAAAUUGCUCAGUAAGAAACAAAUUUCCAUUUUUAACCACCUUUCUUGUGACCUCUAUUUGUAUAGAUUGCAAUUGAGAAAGCUACCUAUAGGAAACUCAAAAUUUUCACAAGUAGCACAUGAAUUUUCAAUGCAUUCAAAAUACAAAUUGGGUUGAGAUUAUCCAAACAGAGUCACAUUUCUAAAUAAGACAUAUUGUGAGUCGGGACAGUUGACUCACAACUAUAUAGCAACCCUGUUACUGAAAGGCUUAAGGCCUGGGCCAGCCUCCAUGGUAGGUAGCAAAGCAAUUUUUAUCAAAAUGGUGUAAUUAGGAAUGGGUGGCAGUAUUUUCGCCCCUCCUCCCAAGAGUUCCACAAUGCUUUUUUAACAUGUUUAUAAAUAUUUGCUUUUGUACCAUUUUAGGGAGAAAUUUCCAUAUAAACAUUUGGCUUCCAAUGAGUCAUCCCCAAAAGCUGGUUCACACCCAAAAAGCUUCCUGCUUGGCUAUCAGUGAAUAUUGGGCUCAAUAAUUGCCUUAUUUUUAUAAUUGGCUUGAAUGAAGAUGGAAAAGGUGGUUGAAGGAGACAGAUUCAGAUAAAUAUAAGAACACCUUUGUUUCCUUACAAGAGAGUGACAUAUACGCACCAUAACCUAACUAUCAUUUAAGCUUAGCUCAAUGCCAGGAUUGUUAUGGAUUUAUGUUUGGCCUUUUAAAAAAUAUCUGGAUAAUUUUACCUGAUAAGUGUUACAUUUUUCUAGUCAUCAUGUGUAUUUCUAGCUAAGGACAUCCCAGAAUUGAAUUACAAAAUGAAAUUUUACUGUUGUAAUUACAGUUAUUGGAUCCUAAAACCAGCAACUUAAAAAGGAACUGAAAAAAUAAAUCACCUUUCCCCCGUGUUGAAAAGAAAGAUCCUUGGCUGAGAUUUUAAUUAUUUUCUGAACUGUAAUUGCAAAACUUUUCCCUAUGUAAAUAAAGAAACAAUAACAUAUCACCUAGCAAUUUGUCCCUCUGUUUUUCCAUUCCCAAAGGGCAAAAUUUGGAAGUUGAAGUGGGACUAUAUGUAUAUUGAGCUGAAGAUAUCAAC